rnacentral:other from 2 species
UUUUCCCUGCGGCGAGCGCCAAGGCAUACAUUCCUUUGAACCAAUAAGUUCGCUUCAGGUUGUCGGGAGAUGCAGCAGGCGCGAGCGUUCCUACGGGAAACGCACCCGAAGCUGCCCGAGACAGCCGCCUUGUUUGACAAGGUUCAAGCGGAUUGAGCCGAAACGCCGCCUGCGGGGAAUCC